UGCUGCUGGUGACUGGAGAUCAGGAGGGAGGGAAACAGCGAAUGAGGCCGGUUCCGCCCUAACAAAGAGGCAGAAACUGUGUCUCAACAGCCACCAAAUCCAGUUCAGGGCGGUUUGAGCCAGUUUCUGAGCUGGACUGAGAACAACAGCCUCGGCUGAGACAUCACUAGGGUGAAACAGAAAAUACAAAAUGGAUUUCGCAGAAAGAAAUGGAUUUGUCUUGGACUCGCUGGAGCCUAAAGCAGUUUCCUUUAGUAGCAAAGUCAGAUGAAAUACAAGGCCUGGAGCCGGAACAGUGCCCUGUUGCUGGAGGGAAAAGCACUGAGCACACCUUCUGUGCCAGAAUCCAGUCCGCAUUUUCUCUCUGGCUGCUCCUAAUUAUGGCUGGUGAGGGAAAAAGGGCCUCAGGGUAUCAGUUUUCAGAGAGAGCUGGCUGCGGUGUUGGGGGAGGGGAGGACGACGUGUCUGGAUGGUUUAAUGUGUAUGCGCUAAGAGGGGAACGCAGGAGAGGGUCUGAAGGAGAGGGAACCGCACUUCACACCCUGCAGUUCACACCAUCUCUGUACACCUUUGCUGCCUUAUCGCCCAAACUCAGAACCCUGCACAGAGGUGUCCUAGGAGCGCUCUACAUACAGUGGCCCUGAUGCAGCCUUUGACCAGACCUCCCUCGGCCCUGUGCAUUAACUGACAAUACAUAUGCUCCAUGCUGUCCACAUGUUCUUAACAUGUGUCCAAAAAAAUGCAUUCACAACGCAGCGAUGCAGCAGUAUUAGGUAACACCAGGAAGACAAUUCUAUCCUAGCCUCCCCUCCCCCCAGAGGCCAGAACCUCCAGACAACUGAUCAGUCCCACCCUGAAGGGCUUUUUUCCUAAUCUGAGUUGUGGAACACAGCUGUCUAGGGUGUGCACAUCCUGUGGCCAAGUUUGGCUCAGUCUUUCCGGGCCAGUUACAGCUUUAACCCCUUUAAAAAAAAAAAAAACGCAAAAGCGUCGUAUGAGUUCUAGAAACAGCCCGCCUGGGAGUUGUGGGGGCGGGGACAAGGACAUGGAAAAGAGGGAAUUUCCUGAUUGCUAAGUGUCCAAAAUGUUCAGAAGCUUCCAGAGUCACCAGAUCCUACUGUGCAUCAGUCUACUUCGAGCUGCGGGUCAGGUGAGCGUCACAGCAUCAGAGAAAGAACUGGUUCAGUGAUGAGAAGGUGGUUCUUGCCUUCAACAAGCUUUCGAUCUAAUGGUUUUUUUUUUUUCUUUUUUUCUCUCCGAGGAUAAUUCAGCAAUGUCUGGCAAAGAGCUGCCUUUUUUGUCUCUCUCUCUCGCUCUCUUUUUCUCCUCCUCUGGGCCUCAGAGGUCAGGAGAGAGGUACAGUUUGGAAUUUCCCUGGCGUCCCGAAGCUGUGCGGGAGGAGCACGUGAGGUCGGGCUGACCUAGUUAACAGCUAGCUGCUGCGCGGGCUGCACUGGAAGGGGUAGGGCGGGGCCUCUGGGGAGCGUCGCCAUGGCAACCAGCCCUUACUCAAGAACGAGACUCCAACCCGGAAAACAGCUCGAGGGAGCUUUCUCUUGAUAAUCCCCUGGGCCUGUCGGGCAGGAACGUACAAAGGGGAUUCUUUCUCUGUAGAGAAAUGGUUCUUUACAGGGCCCGGAACAAAAGGAAACAUUUGUUGGGUCGGAUCUAUCCUUAUAUUGAGCUGGAACAAAAGCAACAAAAGCAAGGUUAUUUAGUUCUUUUCCAUUAUGCACAGGAAAAGAACCUGCUUUGUGCUGCAGGCUUCCUUUUUUUUUUUUUUUUAAUAUUUGUUGUAAUUUUUCUUUUAUAUUCCCACUUUACAAAUGAGACAUUAGUAAGUCUGAAUGGACCUGUAUAAAACUGUAGUUGAAAAUGAGAGUGGCCUUCUGAGCUUUGUGAAGGUGAUCCCAUGUUUGCCUGUUUUAAGAGACUUCUACUAUGUUCUUAAAGAGACUCCUUGUCCACGUGCCCUGGGCCCUGGGAGCCACCAGGGCACGCUGGGCUCUGUCCUCUCAGCUCUGCUGGCUGCCACUCGCCCCUCCCCCGCGCGGGAACUGUGGCCACCAGAGAAGGAGGAAGAGGAAUGCGGAAGAUAUUCCAGCAACCUCCACACCAGCGAGUUUCAAAACUCCUGCAAAGUGGGCAGACUCCUCCAGGCUUCCAGCCGAUCUGCUCUACAGCUGGACGACACCCUGCACAUGGACCCUUUUCCCUAGCUCAGAUGAGCCAACAAUGGCCAGUCACCACCCGCAAGACCAAGACUGACCACAAUUUCUAUAAAGUUAUUAACAGAUGAUUUUCCCUUCGGGUCUACAUUUACAUGCAAUGUAAUGUUUUAGCAGGUUUAUGACUGGAAAAGCUAAGAGUUCAACCACGUCUUGAUAAUGGAAGUCCUGGUAAAGGAGUCACAUUCAUCAUAAAGUCCACAAAAUUAAAACAAAAUUCACCUGCACCACAAAGAUAGCACUUUUGUGCAGUGGGGAAGGGAGGAAAAUGGGACUACCAGAGGGAACUAUAUAGGAGUGCCAGAGGAGCUUCAAACACUUUCACCCCAUCCCUAGAGAUUUCUCUCCUCUAUAGUCACUUAGUGAUAGCAAAUGUCACCUGCCCAACCCCAAAGGACAAAUUGGAAGCCACUCCCAGAAAGACCUUAUAAGGAGUUAAUUAGAUCAACUGUUCCUGUUUAAAUGAAGGGCCGAGUUUCCUUUUCCAAAGGUUAUAGUUCAAAACAUAGCACUAGUGGCUGGGGAUUUAGCUCAGUGGCAUAAGUGCCUGCCAAGCACAAGGUUGUUAAUUUGAUCCCCCAUACCAAAAAAAAAAAAAAGAUACCACUAGCUUAUCCUGCAUUAAGAAGUCAGAAGAAAAAAAAAAAAAGGAGAAAAGAAAACAAAAGGAAAAAGUCAAAACAGCCCAGGCAUGGUGGCAAAUGCCUAUAG